AACUGGCAUCUGGUGAGAUCUCUCUCCUUGGGUUGUAAGUGACCACCUUCUCUAUGUCCUUCCAUGGACUUUCCUCUGUGCUUUUGUGGUGCCAGUGCGCGUGACAUUUCCCUGAAGCCACAGCCCUUGUCACCCCCUGCAAAGCUCUGAAGUUGUGCACAGUGUCUAUAGCAGUUUAGGAAAGAAGGCGGCUCCCUGGGCUGGAGACGACGCAAUGCUCUGGGAAGACCCCUGGGUGCGGGUGAGAGAGGAAUCCGAGCUGCACAAGGCCAAUGAGGGGAGGACGACCCGCCCGAUUUAGAUAAAGGUAACAAGAAAUUUCAGCUUCCGGCAUGAUGGGCGAAGGCCCCCACCUUCAGCCUCGCUCCUCCAUGCCUUCAGAGCUGUUCCGCCAUGCAGACGGGGAGCCUGCCUGUUCUUUAACCUCUCCUACCUGAUGGGAGAGGACAAGCUACCAGGACAGCUUGUCUCACCAAGAAAUUGUGAUACCGCAUCCCCCAACGUGCUGGCUUCCUGACUUCCAAAGUUGCGGCAAGGUAAGAAGAACUACAGAGGAAGAACCUAAUGCAGACGUUUCCCAGGAGACUUUAACUGAAGUAUCAGCAAACUGAAAGGUAACGAGAGAAUCUUGUGCCUCUGAGGGUGUCUUUCCCAUGGAUCCCUGCUCAGUUGCCUUUCACGGGCCCCCUGAUUUGCGUGAACUCCUGACCUCAGAUGAUCCGCCUGCCUUGGCCCUC
rnacentral:lncRNA from 1 species